UGCUGUUGUCUUCAAGACUCUUUAUACUCUCAUCAAAUUUGGAAUUUCACUUGAUGGUACUCCUACACAAUUUGACCCACCAGAACACUUGUUUCGUAUCCGACUUGUAUGUACAUUACUGGACACGUGUGGUCAGUUCUUUGACCGUGGAAGCACUAAGAAGAAGCUGGACUGCUUUCUAGUUUAUUUUCAGCAAUAUGUUCUAUAUAAGAAGAGUCUUGCAAUA